rnacentral:rRNA from 1 species
UGGCGGCGCGGAUAGACAUGCAAGUCGAACGGGGUUUAGUUUGUAGUAAUACACGCUAAAUCCAGUGGCGAACGGGUGCGUAACACGUGAGUAAUCUGCCGGGAAGUGGGGGAUAGCUCGCCGAAAGGCGAAUUAAUACCGCAUAUGACAAGGGAAGACAUCUUUCCGAAGUCAAAGUCGCAAGACGCUUCCUGAUGAGCUCGCGGCCUAUCAGCUAGUUGGUGAGGUAACGGCUCACCAAGGCAAUGACGGGUAGCUGGUCUGAGAGGACGACCAGCCACACUGGAACUGAGACACGGUCCAGACACCUACGGGUGGCAGCAGUCGAGAAUUUUUCACAAUGGGGGAAACCCUGAUGGAGCGACGCCGCGUGGAGGAUGAAGGUCUUCGGAUUGUAAACUCCUGUCAUGCGAGAACAAGAAAGUGAUAGUAUCGCAAGAGGAAGAGACGGCUAACUCUGUGCCAGCAGCCGCGGUAAUACAGAGGUCUCAAGCGUUGUUCGGAUUCAUUGGGCGUAAAGGGUGCGUAGGUGGCGUGGAAAGUUGAGUGUGAAAUCCUAGGGCUUAACCUUAGAACUGCACUCAAUACUCCCAUGCCAGAGGAAUGUAGAGGAGAGUGGAAUUCACGGUGUAGCAGUGAAAUGCGUAGAUAUCGUGAGGAAGACCAGUUGCGAAGGCGACUCUCUGGGCAUUUCCUGACACUGAGGCACGAAGGCCAGGGGAGCAAACGGGNAUUAGAUACCCCGGUAGUCCUGGCAGUAAACGGUGCACGUUUGGUGUGGGCGGGCUCAGACCCCGU